GUCGUCUAAUGGGGAUCCCAAUAAAAAUCUAAAAUCAUCCAGCCCACUGGCAGCUGCCUGGGCUACUACAGCAAAGCCUGUUGGGGAAAGAAGCGCACCAAGGGGAUGAACAGUCUAAAGCUCCUCCAAGCUGGACGGCAAACAAACACACAGAAAAAGGAGAAACAGACAGACGCCACGCUGAGCAAAUAGACCGCUAUCAGAACACACCGAGAGUGCGAGACGAGAGAGAGAGGAAUGAGACAGAAGGGGACCACAACCUCAUCCACCUCCACCCAUGUUGCCGACUGCAUGACAACACCAAGCACCCGAGGGACACAAUGACGACAUCCCCUGCUGCCUCCACUGCAGCAUAUUCAUUCCAGCACCACCAACUUGGCCUCAAAGACUUGGACCCAGGCCCCCAAGCCAGCUCCGGCCCUGUCUUCUCUCCCACGGCUUGGUAUCCAUUUCCAUCUGAGACAAAUACUAUCCCUGUCCGGCUAUUCCGCUGACCAAUUCUCAGGACACUCCUUCUGGGGUCUAAGGAUGGCAGGGAUGAGCUGUAUACCAGGUCUUCCAUUCAUAUUGGCAGUAGCCCUGGCACACAGGCACAUGGUGGGUAGCCCUGGUAGCACCCAGGGUGGAUUAACAUGUUAAGAUGGUUGCUACGGAGGGGGCGAGGUUCUGAGGUUGUUUUAGAGCCAUUCAAUGUAAUAGAGGUAUUCCAUACAAUACAAAGUACAAAAUAACACUAUCUGUUGGUCAGAGCAACUCUGUCAAUUUUGGGAAAACCAAUACUGCGUUGGAGGGGAAAUCUGGAGCAGUCUUAAGGAUCGGACCCAUUUUUAAAAUGUUCUGCUAAAAUGACAUGCCCAAAUCUUACUGCCUGUAGCUCAGGCCCUGAAGCAAGGAUAUGCAUAUUCUUGAUACCAUUUGAAAGGAAGCAUUUUGAAGUUUGUGGAAAUGUGAAAUUAAUGUAGGAGAAUAUAACACAUUAGAUCUGGUAAAAGAUAAAACAUAGACUUCAUUUUUUUCCAUCUUUGUAAUGCAAGAGAAAGGUCAUGACGUACUAUUCCAGCUUAGGUGCAAUUUUGGUUUUGACCACUAGAUGGGAGCAGUGUGUGAAAUGUUUUAGACUGAUCAAAUGAACCAUUGCAUUUCUGUUCAAAAUGUUGUAUCAAGACUGCCCAAAUGUGCCUAAUUGGUUUAUUAAUACAUUUAAGUUAAUAACUAUGCACUCUCCACAAACAAUAGCAUUUUAUUAUUUCACUGUAAUAGCUACUGUAAAUUGGACAGUGCCGUUAGAUUAACAAGAAUUUAAGCUUUCUGCCCAUAUCAGAUAUGUCUGUCCUGGGAUUUUUUUAAAUCACAUUAGCUCAACCACCCCGCGUGGUGGGGCAAUGAUCCUGAAACCAAUGCAUUCCCUAUCUGGAUAUGGAAUGACUCUGAUGUCAAACUCUUAUACGAAGUUGCUGGGCAUGACUCACUGGGGCAUUUCUAGAGGAGCUGAACUCAAAUCGUAAAUGGCUAAUUUACCGAGAUAAGAACAGUGCAAAUAGCAGAACAUUUUAUCCAAAUGCCUUAACUGGAGGGAGACUGAAUUGAUCAUGAAAUUUGAACUGGUUUCACUUAUCAAUCUGGCUGGUCAGAUGUUUAAAACAGUCUCAAAAUAAAUAAUGUCCUACUCACUGUUGGAUUAAAUCCUGCUAUAUUUUACAAGCUAGAAUAUUUAGGACACAACAGUACGUUUGCUUCUGUUGUGAGUGAUGGAAAAAAUACAAAUAAGAUGGAUAUCCGGUUUACAAUAGCUACAGUGCCUUGCAAAAGUUUUCAUCCCCCUUGGCGUUUUUCCUAUUUUGCUGCAUUACAACCUGUAAUUUAAAUAGAUUAUUAGAAUUUCAUGUAAUAGACAAAAUAGUCCAAAUUGGUGAAGCAAACUUUAAAAAAUAACUUGUUUAAAAAAAAAAUGUAAAUUGGUGCAUGCAUAUGUAUUCACCCCUUUGCUAUGAAGCCCCUACAUACGAUCUGGUGCAACCAAUUAACUUCAGAAGUCACAUAGGUUGUGACAUAGUCCACCUGUGUGCAAUCUGUGUCACAUGAUCUGUCACAUGAUCUUAGUAUAGAUACACAACUGUUCUGAAAGGCCCCAGAGUCUGCAACACCACUAAGCAAGGGGCACCACCAAGCAAGCAGCACCAUGAAGACCAAGGAGAUCUCCAAACAGGUCAGGGACAAAGUUGUGGAGAAGUACAGAUCAGGGCUGGGUUAUAAAAAAAUAUCUUAAACUUUGAACAUCCCACAGAGCACCAUCCAUUAUUAAAAAAUGGAAAGAAUAUAGCAGAUAAAAGCCAUUGCUUAAAGAAAAAAUAAGCAAACACAUUUGGUGUUCGCCAAAAGGCAUGUGGGAGACUUCCCAAACAUAUGGAAGAAGGUACUCUGGUCAGAUGAGACUAAAACUGAGCUUUUUGGCCAUCAAGGAAAACGCUAUGUCUGGCGCAAACCCAACACCUCUCAUCAACCCGAGAACACCAUCCCCACAGUGAAGCAUGGUGGUGGCAGCAUCAUGCUGUGGGGAUGUUUUUCAUCGGCAGGGACUGGGAAACUGGUAAGAAUAGAAGGAAUGAUGGACGGCGCUAAAUACAUGGAAAUUAUUGAGGGAAACCUGUUAGUCUUCCAGAGAUUUGAGUCUGGGACGGAGGUUCACCUUCCAGCAGAACAAUGACCCUAACGAUUCAGGUAAAGCAACACUAGAGUGGUUUAAGGGUAAACAUUUAAAUGUCUUGGAAUGGCCUAGUCAAAGCCCAGACCUCAAUCCAAUUGAGAAUCUGUGGUAUGACAAAGUUUGCUGUACACCAGCGGAACCCAUCCAACUGGAAGGAGCUGGAGCAGUUUUGCCUUGAAGAAUGAGCAAAAAUCCCAGUGGCUAGAUGUGCCAAGCUUAUAGAGACAUACCCCAAGAGACUUGAAGCUGUAAUUGUUGCAAAAGGUGGCUCUACAAAGUAUUGACUUUGGGGAGUGAAUAGUUAUGCACGCUCAAGUUUUCAGUUUUUUUGUCUUAUUUUUUGUCUGUUUCACAA
ensembl:lncRNA